UACGAAGGGUGCAAGCGUUAAUCGGAAUUACUGGGCGUAAAGCGUGCGUAGGCGGUUCGUUAAGUCCGUUGUGAAAGCCCUGGGCUCAACCUGGGAAUGGCGCUGGAUACUGACGAGCUCGAGUGCGGUAGAGGAGGGUGGAAUUCCCGGUGUAGCGGUGAAAUGCGUAGAGAUCGGGAGGAACAUCAGUGGCGAAGGCGGCCCUCUGGACCAGCACUGACGCUGAGGCACGAAAGCGUGGGGAGCAAACAGG
rnacentral:rRNA from 1 species